GGUAUACGAUUUUUUUUGUAGUUGGCGUACGAUCACACUUUUUUUGCACCUGGCAGCCCUGAUAGCUACCUAAUACAUAAUACACUUGACACUUGUAAUACACUCUUACACAUAACUGAUUUCAUUCUUGCAAAUUGGAAUGUAUAUCGUCGAUUCGUCGUACAAAGAGUAUAUAAGGUAGCAAUUAAUUACCUAGUUCUCGUUAGAAUUUAUAUUCUGGACUUGUGGCGUAGAUAUAGUUGUUUUGGUGUAAAUCAUAUGAAGAUGUACUUAGUUCAACCUUGAUAACUCCCUUAUAUUUGUUAAGCAUAUCCUCAGUAAUGAAAAGAUUCCAGCAUUCCACUUCAGACAUUGCCGACUUUGCUUCUGGCACUAAACCUGGCAGAACAAGAUACAGCAAGUCUUCAAAGCACAGAUGAAGAAUGAUACUGGUCAAAAUCAGUCCAACCGUUUCAGAGAUUAGCCGAAACAAACAGACAGACAGAGAAAAAUUAUAAAAAUGUUAUUUUGAUAUAUGUACCGUGUAUGCAUAUGAUAGAAUUUUACUGAUUAUAAAGAUAAUUAGUAAGAAAAAGAGAAAGUUUUGCAAAGCUAUUAUUACCCUCGUUUACUUUAAUAUUAAAAGAACUAUGUUUAUAACAAUUAUUACUUUAUAUAUUGCAAAGCUUCAAAUUACCCUCUAUUAAUUUAAUAUUAAAAGAACUAUGUCUUUGAUGAUCAUCACUUAUUAAAAGAACUGUAUUUGAAAUAAUUAUUAUCAUAUAUCAAAUAGCAUCCAAUUACCCUCCAUUACUUUAAUGUCAGAAGAAGCACAUUUAUGAUACUUAAUUAUUACUUUAUGUAUAAUAUAUUUUUAAGAAUAAAGUAAAUAAGACAAAGGAUGUGGU
rnacentral:misc_RNA from 1 species